rnacentral:rRNA from 1 species
UGCAGUCGAACGAUGAUGGGAGCUUGCUCCUGGAUUAGUGGCGAACGGGUGAGUAACACGUGAGUAACCUGCCCUUAACUCUGGGAUAAGCCUGGGAAACUGGGUCUAAUACCGGAUAUGACUCCUCAUCGCAUGGUGGGGGGUGGAAAGCUUUUUGUGGUUUUGGAUGGACUCGCGGCCUAUCAGCUUGUUGGUGAGGUAAUGGCUUACCAAGGCGACGACGGGUAGCCGGCCUGAGAGGGUGACCGGCCACACUGGGACUGAGACACGGCCCAGACUCCUACGGGAGGCAGCAGUGGGGAAUAUUGCACAAUGGGCGCAAGCCUGAUGCAGCGACGCCGCGUGAGGGAUGACGGCCUUCGGGUUGUAAACCUCUUUCAGUAGGGAAGAAGCGAAAGUGACGGUACCUGCAGAAGAAGCGCCGGCUAACUACGUGCCAGCAGCCGCGGUAAUACGUAGGGCGCAAGCGUUAUCCGGAAUUAUUGGGCGUAAAGAGCUCGUAGGCGGUUUGUCGCGUCUGCCGUGAAAGUCCGGGGCUCAACUCCGGAUCUGCGGUGGGUACGGGCAGACUAGAGUGAUGUAGGGGAGACUGGAAUUCCUGGUGUAGCGGUGAAAUGCGCAGAUAUCAGGAGGAACACCG